CUGGGCAGCAGCUCUGCAGCCGGUUCACCCUGCAGGUCAGGUGAACCCAUUUGCAGGCCAGUUCCAGCAAAUGGAUUGUAAUUUGGCUGCCCCUGAUCCGUUGGCAACCCCUGAUUGCCGUCACUGCUGACGCGGUCACCCUCCUGAUUCCUGGUGUGACGGAUGCGAUGUGUUCCUGGCUGACCAGGAAACCAGGUGUUGCCAUCACAGCUGUGGCCCAAGCGUUGGAAGUGGAGGUGGCACAGAGGAAGCAGCUGCAGCAGUAGGUUUGUUAUCGCUACUCAAUCCCAAGGCCAUUUUCUAGAAGCUUGCAUCAAGGAGCCUGCCCCAGCAUUAGACCAUUCAGCCACCAAUGACACCAGGUAUUGGAAAUAAAUCAAUCAGUGGUAUUUACUGAACAUUUACUGUGUGCAGAGUGCUGUAAUAAUUAUAAUAAUUGUGGUAUUAAGCAUUUACUAUA
rnacentral:lncRNA from 1 species